CCUACGGGAGGCAGCAGUGAGGAAUAUUGGACAAUGGGCGCAAGCCUGAUCCAGCCAUGCCGCGUGCAGGAUGACGGUCCUAUGGAUUGUAAACUGCUUUUAUACGAGAAGAAACACUACUUCGUGAAGUAGCUUGACGGUAUCGUAAGAAUAAGGAUCGGCUAACUCCGUGCCAGCAGCCGCGGUAAUACGGAGGAUCCAAGCGUUAUCCGGAAUCAUUGGGUUUAAAGGGUCCGUAGGCGGUUUAAUAAGUCAGUGGUGAAAGCCCAUCGCUCAACGGUGGAACGGCCAUUGAUACUGUUAGACUUGAAUUAUUAGGAAGUAACUAGAAUAUGUAGUGUAGCGGUGAAAUGCUUAGAGAUUACAUGGAAUACCAAUUGCGAAGGCAGGUUACUACUAAUAUAUUGACGCUGAUGGACGAAAGCGUGGGUAGCGAACAGGAUUAGAUACCCUGGUAGUCCACGCCGUAAACGAUGGAUACUAGCUGUUGGAAGCAAUUUCAGUGGCUAAGCGAAAGUGAUAAGUAUCCCACCUGGGGAGUACGUUCGCAAGAUGAAACUCAAAUGAAUUGACGG
rnacentral:rRNA from 1 species